rnacentral:pre_miRNA from 1 species
CAAGGCAUCAAAGUGAUUGUGAUGUGUUUCAACAAUCAUAUCACAGUCAGCUUUGAUGAGCUUGA